rnacentral:lncRNA from 10 species
GAGGAAGGGAGCUGGAAUAACAAAGGGAGGUAAUGGGGUAGAUUGGAUACCUCUGGGGUCUUGGAAGAAGCUAUGACUUAUUUACUGUCUACUAUGUGCUGAAGCCACUUGCUCAGAGCCGCACAGCAAGCCCACCACCCUGAACCUCCAGAUUACCAACUCAGCAUUGUGUCCUGACAGUGUCAUCAUAGAUGGUCAACACCGUCACCUGGGCAGCACUGAAGCCCAGAGCGGGAGAGACUGGCUCAAGACCAUGGAGAAGAAUAUUGAGGAUCAAAGAGACCAAGACUGCAAGCGUAAAAACUAAGAUUGGAACCAAAGCCAGUUCUUCUUGAUCCCAGGGUCUGCGCCCUUCUUCUGUUCCAUGUUUCAUUGUUCUUGGUGGACCUGGGGAUCAAUAGCUAGAAGUUAAAGGACAAACUGAUUUGGGAAGUGCUUCCAGUGCUGUCUUGAGUGAUGUCUAGAGAUUAGCAGACUGGCUGUGAAGUGGUGAGCUGCCCAUCACUGGAACCGUGCAAGCAGAGACUGGUCAUGGUGAUCACGGUGUUGGUCCUGUGUGAGUGUGAUGUGGGGAAGAAUUGAGACCAGAUGACCUUUGAGGGCCUUCUGCUGUCUGAGGCGGGCCUGCUUGGGCCUGCUCCCAGGUCAGUGCCCCAUGGAUGGAGCCUCUGAAGCCAGCUGCUCAUUAUCUGUGGAUCCUCUGCGGGGACACUGCCAGCUCCCAAACAGGAAACAUGUCCAGAAAUCUGUAAUUAGAGCUGGGAGCCACAGGCCUGAGAGGUGCCUGCUGCAGCUUCAAGUGCAGACACGCCACCCUGGUUAAGUCCCUGGGAGAGAACCCAGUGAGUCAGGCCCUCAGAUCUUCUCCCUGCCUGUGGCACCCCCGCCCCACCCCAUUCCCCUUGGAAGGAAACCUGCUUUGGCCAGGAACCUACUGGGUGAAUGGGUUUCAUAUACAUUCUCUCCUCUGUUCUUCCCCAGAACCGUGGGAGAGAGGAAACAUCUGCCAUGAUGCAGGCAAGGAAUGCAAAGCUCCCAGACAUCAUGUGGCUCACUCAAGGUCACCCUACUAUGGCCCUUGCCUUUCUGAGUGCCUGGUUUGACCUCUUGAUCCCUCCAGGGGAGAACGUCACAGUCAAAGGAGGGGUGCAAGAGGCCAGUGGCACACAGAGAGGUCUGUGUGGGCCUGAGUGGCUCCUGGGUCUUCCCUGACUGACCAUAACGCCUUUCAGCCUUUCUGAAUCUGCCAUGAAGGGACGGGUCCUUGCAGUGUUCCUCUGCCAGGCUGCCUGGCAACCCAUGGCAAUUGUGGUGGUGUUAAAACAUGGCCACAGGCCAGGCACGGUGGCUCAUGCCUGUAAUUCCAGCACUUUGCAUAGGGUAUGGCAGAAGAGACCCUAAGUGAGUAAAGACCAUGCCCCUGCAAAUUAUACUUUGUUUGCUGGAACACUCACUCUUGGAGCCCUGAGCCACCAUGUAAAGAAGUAGGAAGAUUCACUGUCCUGAAGCUGCCAUGUUGUGAGGAAGCCCAAGCCACAUGGAGGGGCCAUGUCUAGGUGCUCCAGUCAACAGUCCCAGCUGAGCUUAGCCAUCUAACAUCCCCAGCUAUUUUAGUUUUUCCUGAAAUCCCAGAAAUCAUGGAAUAGAGACAAAUCUCUCCUGCUGUGCUCUGUCUGAACUGCU